rnacentral:rRNA from 1 species
UACGUAGGUGGCAAGCGUUGUCCGGAUUUACUGGGCGUAAAGAGCGCGCAGGCGGUCGUUCAAGUCGCGUGUGAAAGCCCCCGGCUCAACUGGGGAGGGUCACGCGAUACUGAUCGACUCGAAGGCAGGAGAGGGAAGUGGAAUUCCCGGUGUAGUGGUGAAAUGCGUAGAUAUCGGGAGGAACACCAGUGGCGAAGGCGACCUCCUGGCCUGUUCUUGACGCUGAGGCGCGAAAGCUAGGGGAGCAAACGGG